GGACCAGGUGUUUAGAUUACUUGAAAUAUUUGGGGCUGCAUGCUUUUUAAGCCAGAAUAUUCUAAACUACAAUGUGUGUCCAUUUCUCUUCUGUAGUGUACUUUAAUUUGAAAUACAGAUCUCCCUUAUCUUGUUAGUACAGGUGAGAAAUGGAAGACACCCUCAUAAACUGCUGUUAAUUUUAGGUGCAUGGGGUUUGAUGUUGGAGCUUUAAUGAAAUGCAUAAACUAAUUUUCAGUCCCCAAUUUUUAUUUCAUAGAAAUUUCUUACUGGGUAUAUCAUCAAGAAACAUCAUAAAUAUAGAAAGUCUGAAAUAUGAAAUUUUAUGCCAAAAUUUUUGACAGUCUGAUGAAUUUAAGCUUUCAAUUUAUAAUUUACUGUGCUAGGGUUAAUUUCUGUUCAUAUCUGAGAUUGUAUGGACAGCCUUUCAUAAUGGAAUCCCUUUUCUGGUUUUGUAAUUUGAACAUAUAUUUGCCUUUUCAUUUUUGAAGUGCUUGGCCUAAUUUUUUUUGUAAUUGCAUGAAAUAAGCAUUUGUUUGAAACAAUAUUCUUGCAAAACUGUUCUCUAUGAAUUGUAUGGAGAAUUUAAAUCAUAGCCAAAUGUAUUACUACUACUCUAUAAAAAUUUCAGAUUUCCAGAAAAGGUUUCUUUAUAACGUUAUGGAGAAAUCAAAUUGAGUAUUUUUAGUGGUCAAAUGAAAGAUAAUUUAACAAAAGGACUAAAAAUGAUGCCCAAAUAGCUUCUUACUCUGUAACUCAUUCUAUUAGAGCAAUUAACCAGGAGUCUUCCUGUUGUAAAAUACCAGACUGGCAGUCUUGUAUAUCCUUUCUUGCUAACGAAUACCCAGUUUCCAAGCUCUUACUUGCUAGCGCUUUUGUCUUAAUGUGUUCAUUCCUAAAUGCUCAUUUAAAAAAAAAGAUGUGUAAAAUUGUUAAAUACUGAUUAUAUGUAAAUAACUUAUUUUUCCACAUCCUAAGACAUUUCCAGCCAUUUUGAGUUUUUGUUUAAUCUCAAGGUUCCCUGCAACCCCAAAGUAGUACUUCCCUUAUGACUACUGAAGAGUCUAAAACGCCGGCAAUGCCAUGUAUUUCAGCACAACUAAAUCUAGGAUACGGUUAUUUUCAUUGCAGUACUAGAUAGUUUCAGUUAAAUUACAGCACAUUUGUCCUCUUUCGGUUUGCUUGCUUGUAACAGUGCUCUGUGAACUUGUCUUCCAGCACAUGGCAAAAAGAACUAAUUCAAAAGCAUAAUCAUAUACUUUGCUUAUUAAUGAAAAGCUGUUUCAAACGAAAACCAAUUUGUAGUAGUUAUAAAUGGUCAGUUUUAAAAACUAUUUUUGCAUUCUCAUAAAAAUGUUUUUUAGGUCAGCUUGACAAUCAUCAGCUUUUGAAAUGUGAGUUCCUGUAUCCGAG
rnacentral:lncRNA from 1 species